UUUCGUUGAGUUUACAUCUAAAUAAAGUAAUCGAAUCAAAUGCGUCUCGCACACUGUCAAAGCUACAUUUUAGGAAAACCCCUGUAGGAAGGUGACAGCGAAAUUCGAAAUCAGGUUCGUUUGAUAUUGAAAAAUAAAGACAGUUCAAAGAAAGACGACGAAAAACAGGAAGUGCCGGAUAUAGAACACGCAAUUUCCAUGUAAAGGUGAAAAAAACUCCUAACUUCGUAGUAUAACAGUAUGUUGGAAAUCAGGUUAACCUUCGCGCCGACUUUUGUUUCCCCCGUUUGAUUAUUCGUCACUUAUUUACCGUUGAGGCAAGCAAAUGGUGUUUUAACACUUUCGAAAAGAAAUGUCACCACCCCAGCCAAUUCGUAAGAUAUAUGGCAUGUUUUGACCUUUGAAGCCAUCUGAGUCAUCACGAAUUUUGUUUUUUGUAUCGAGUGGGUUGGUGCUGAGUCGUCCCCAAAACAGUUCAAAUUACGAUGGCGUUAGUGUUGGGGAGGGACAGGCACGCAACAGAAGCCAAAGAACGCGGAAGAUAUGGCGAUUGGAAAGUCUAUUGUGCAGGAAACUGUUGUGCAGGAAUGUUACGCAUACUUUCGGGAUUAUAAUUGAUGGAUUUCUCUCCUCUCCCCAAAGUUUCUCUAGUUCUUAUAAUAAUGAAGCUACUCAAAGCGGAAUAAUGCUGUACGAGUAUAAUGUCGGGUGACGUAAAUAGGUUUUUUUUUUUUUUUAAGAAAUAAAACUUGGUAUUUCGUCACUCUGCGAGCUUCUAUCUUUACCCUCAAUCAGUGUCUUUUUUCCCCAUGUAAAGCUCAGGGAAGAGAAAGUUUUCUGGAAGAAGACAUUUCUUCCCACCGCACAUGUCGAUGGUCUCUCUCUCUUAUUUCUCUCGUGAAUCGCGUGAACAAUGUGAAGCGUUUUUACUCCGCAGUUUUCCCAAAAGGAAGCAAAAGGUCUGGUACAAGCGACCCAUUGACAUUUUACUAUAGAUAUACUGUCGAUAUACUUGACUGCGUGUCAGGUACCUAUACGUUUUGUAAGUUUUAUUCUUUCGGUGGUCUUGCAACCUUUUCACACCGACGAAUUACAACCGAAAAGCCGUUUACCGUCUGAUUUCGUGAAACAGCAGUUCAACUAGGGAUUAUAUUACCAUAUCCGGUAUUAGUGAAUCGUGAUGUCGAUGCACACAGUACCAUGGAAAAUGUCUUGUGACCUACAUUUGUUUUCUGUUUUUUUUUUUUUUUUUUUUGUGUCUGUAUUCCAACACAAAAGAAAUCCAUCAUUCCUGACUUGAGCACCCGUUUUGCGACACAUUGUAUUGGAGAAAUGCCUAUCCACUUAGGUAAACUAGAUCACUCUAGUCUAUACUGGACAGGGUGCAGGUUUGCGAGCAAGGUUAUACGUCAGAAUAAAUUACACGCCGUACCAAUCUACUGCACAAUAAGUUACAUUUCGCCGAAA